GACGAACGCUGGCGGCGUGCUUAACACAUGCAAGUCGAACGAUAAAGCGGGUGCUUGCACUCGUGGACUAGUGGCGAACGGGCGAGUAACACGUGAGUAACCUGCCCUUUUCUUUGGGAUAACGGCUGGAAACGGCUGCUAAUACUGGAUCUUCAGGCUGCAUCGCCUGGUGUGGUUUGGAAAGGUUUUUUCUGGGAUUGGGUGGCCUCGCGGCCUAUAAGCUUGUUGGUGGGGUGAUGGCUUACCAAGGCUUUGACGGGUAGCCGGCAUGAGGGGGUGGUCUGUCGCAGUGAGACGGAGAUACGGCCCAGGGGCGUCAGCGAGGGAGCAGUGUGGACUAUUGGCGAAUGGACGAAGGAUUGAUGCAGCGAGGAUGCGUAGGGGGUGCUGGCUGUAGAGUUGUGUACUCCUGUUUGAAGCGAGAAAGGCACAGUUUUGGCUGUGUUGAUGGUAGUGGGAGAAGAAGCGCCGGCUAACUACGUG
rnacentral:rRNA from 1 species